GUGGGGAAUAUUGGACAAUGGGGGGAACCCUGAUCCAGCCAUGCCGCGUGUGUGAAGAAGGCCUUUUGGUUGUAAAGCACUUUAAGCGAGGAGGAGGCUACUCUAGUUAAUACCUGGGGAUAGUGGACGUUACUCGCAGAAUAAGCACCGGCUAACUCUGUGCCAGCAGCCGCGGUAAUACAGAGGGUGCGCGCGUUAAUCGGAUUUACUGGGCGUAAAGCGUGCGUAGGCGGCUUUUUAAGUCGGAUGUGAAAUCCCUGAGCUUAACUUAGGAAUUGCAUUCGAUACUGGGAAGCUAGAGUAUGGGAGAGGAUGGUAGAAUUCCAGGUGUAGCGGUGAAAUGCGUAGAGAUCUGGAGGAAUACCGAUGGCGAAGGCAGCCAUCUGGCCUAAUACUGACGCUGAGGUACGAAAGCAUGGGGAGCAAACAGGAUUAGAUACCCCGGUAGUCC
rnacentral:rRNA from 1 species